UAAAGUAGGAAUGACGCGUCAAGUGCUGCAGGAUGGGAAGUUGUCUGCAGACGAAGGGCAGGGCCCGCGGUGUCAUCUCCGCUUCCGUUG
rnacentral:ncRNA from 1 species